GACGAACGCUGGCGGCGUGCCUAAUACAUGCAAGUUGAGCGCUGAAGGUUGGUACUUGUACCAACUGGAUGAGCAGCGAACGGGUGAGUAACGCGUGGGGAAUCUGCCUUUGAGCGGGGGACAACAUUUGGAAACGAAUGCUAAUACCGCAUAAAAACUUUAAACACAAGUUUUAAGUUUGAAAGAUGCAAUUGCAUCACUCAAAGAUGAUCCCGCGUUGUAUUAGCUAGUUGGUGAGGUAAAGGCUCACCAAGGCGAUGAUACAUAGCCGACCUGAGAGGGUGAUCGGCAACAUUGGGACGGAGACACGGCCCAAACUCCUACGGGAGGCAGCAGUAGGGAAUCUUCGGCAAUGGACGAAAGUCUGACCGAGCAACGCCGCGUGAGUGAAGAAGGUUGUCGGAUCGUAAAACUCUGUUGGUAGAGAAGAACGUUGGUGAGAGUGGAAAGCUCAUCAAGUGACGGUAACUACCCAGAAAGGGACGGCUAACUACGUG
rnacentral:rRNA from 1 species